rnacentral:rRNA from 1 species
GAGUUUGAUCUUGGCUCAGGAUGAACGCUGGCGGCGUGCCUAACACAUGCAAGUCGAACGAAGCAAUCGGGAUGAAGUUUUCGGAUGGAUUCCUGGUUGACUGAGUGGCGGACGGGUGAGUAACGCGUGGAUAACCUGCCUCACACUGGGGGAUAACAGUUAGAAAUGGCUGCUAAUACCGCAUAAGCGCACAGUACCGCAUGGUACGGUGUGAAAAACCCAGGUGGUGUGAGAUGGAUCCGCGUCUGAUUAGCCAGUUGGCGGGUAACGGCCCACCAAAGCGACGAUCAGUAGCCGACCUGAGAGGGUGACCGGCCACGAUUGGGACUGAGACACGGCCCAAACUCCUACGGGAG